ACGCUGGCGGCAGGCUUAACACAUGCAAGUCGAACGGUAACAGGAAUUAGCUUGCUAAUUUGCUGACGAGUGGCGGACGGGUGAGUAAUGCUCGGGAAUCUGGCUUAUGGAGGGGGAUAACUACGGGAAACUGUAGCUAAUACCGCGUAAAAUCUUCGGAUUAAAGGGUGGGACUUUCGAGCCACCUGCCAUAAGAUGAGCCCAAGUGGGAUUAGGUAGUUGGUUAGGUAAAGGCUGACCAAGCCGACGAUCUCUAGCUGGUCUGAGAGGAUGACCAGCCACACUGGAACUGAGACACGGUCCAGACUCCUACGGGAGGCAGCAGUGGGGAGUAUUGCACAAUGGGGGGAACCCUGAUGCAGCCAUGCCGCGUGAAUGAAGAAGGCCUUCGGGUUGUAAAGUUCUUUCGGUGACGAGGAAGGUUGAUAGGUUAAUAGCCUAUCAAAUUGACGUUAAUCACAGAAGAAGCACCGGCUAACUCCGUGCCAGCAGCCGCGGUAAUACGGGGGGUGCGAGCGUUAAUCGGAAUAACUGGGCGUAAAGGGCACGCAGGCGGUGACUUAAGUGAGAUGUGAAAGCCCCGAGCUUAACUUGGGAAUUGCAUUUCAUACUGGGUCGCUAGAGUACUUUAGGGAGGGGUAGAAUUCCACGUGUAGCGGUGAAAUGCGUAGAGAUGUGGAGGAAUACCGAAGGCGAAGGCAGCCCCUUGGGAAUGUACUGACGCUCAUGUGCGAAAGCGUGGGGAGCAAACAGGAUUAGAUACCCUGGUAGUCCACGCUGUAAACGAUGUCGAUUUGGGGAUUGGGCUUUGAGCUUGGUGCCCGUAGCUAACGCGAUAAAUCGACCGCCUGGGGAGUACGGCCGCAAGGUUAAAACUCAAAUGAAUUGACGGGGGCCCGCACAAGCGGUGGAGCAUGU
rnacentral:rRNA from 1 species